rnacentral:rRNA from 1 species
GACGAACCGAGCGAACGUUGUUCGGAAUCACUGGGCUUAAAGGGCGCGUAGGCGGGCCGCCGCGUCCGGGGUGAAAUCCUCCCGCUCAACGGGAGAACGGCCUCGGAUACGGGCGGCCUGGAGGGGGGUAGGGGCGUGCGGAACUGUGGGUGGAGCGGUGAAAUGCGUUGAUAUCCACAGGAACUCCGGUGGCGAAGGCGGCACGCUGGACCCCACCUGACGCUGAGGCGCGAAAGCUAGGGGAGCAAACAGG